rnacentral:rRNA from 1 species
GGAUAGAGGCCUACCAUGGUGGUAACGGGUAACGGGGUGUUAGGGCACGACACCGGAGAGGGAGCCUGAGAAACGGCUACCACAUCCAAGGAUGGCAGCAGGCGCGCAAAUUACCCAAUCCCGACACGGGGAGGUAGUGACAAUAAAUAACAAUACGGGGUUCUUUCGGAUCUCGUAAUUGGAAUGAGUACAAUUUAGAUCUCUUAACGAGGAACAAUUGGAGGGCAAGUCUGGUGCCAGCAGCCGCAGUAAUUCCAGCUCCAAUAGCGUAUAUUAAAGUUGUUGCAGUUAAAAAGCUCGUAGUUGAAUUUCGGGGUUAGUAGGUUGGUCAUGCCUCUGGUAUGUACUGAUCUCACUGAUUCCUCCUUCCUUAUGAACCGUAAUGCCAUUAAUUUGGUGUUGCGGGGAAUUUGGACUGUUACUUUGAAAAAAUUAGAGUGUUUAAAGCAGGCUAACGCUUGAAUACAUUAGCAUGGAAUAAUGAAAUAGGACGUUCGAUCUUAUUUUGUUGGCUUCUAGGAUUGACGUAAUGAUUAAUAGGGAUAGUUGGGGGCAUUAGUAUUCAAUUGUCAGAGGUGAAAUUCUUGGAUUUAUUGAAGACUAACUACUGCGAAAGCAUUUGCCAAGGAUGUUUUCAUUAAUCAAGAACGAAAGUUAGGGGAUCGAAGACGAUCAGAUACCGUCGUAGUCUUAACCAUAAACUAUGCCGACUAGGGAUCGGAUGA